CCAGUUAUACACAAAUUUAUUAGUUCUGUGACGAACCACCGGUCGCGCUUAAGGCGAAAAUAUUUAGGCAGUUCAAAUCAAAUCAAGUCAGUUCUAAUCAAAUAAUAUGGUACCGUCAAAAAUAGAAAAAAGUUUUACUGGAAUUUUAGUGAUUAUUUAAACUUUUUAUUAAAAACAAUGAUGGAAUCAGACCGUAAACCCUUUCAUAAGUAUGUUGUUCCGAUGCCGGAUUUGUUUUCCAAAAGACAUACAUUCUCGAAGAACGAUCCUACAUUAUUUCAAAAGUGAUAUCAAGUGCGAAACCUUAAAAUGGAAAAUACAACACAGUAAGAUAUUUAUAAGAUUUAUAGAGUUUGUGAUUUACAUUUUUGGAAUCAAGAUCGUACCUGGAAUAAAAAGAGGUUUAGAAGUUAAUUCUAAAGUUUUUAUAUACACCAGUUCAUAUGGAUGAUCAACCUACUGGUAAUUUGGUGUCCAGUGAUGUCGAUCCAGGUACAAACCCUGUAUUUAAAGACAAAAAUUUGUUGUAGAACUUGUUGGUGGACCAGUCUGUUGUUUGUAUUAGACAUGUACUGUUACCUGAGAUAAAAGCAGUAACUGAAAAGGAGAAAGGAUCAGAUAACCCAAAUGAGGAAUCUUCCAGAGUGCAGAUGAUGAAGUUUUUGUGAGUGAGGUAUAAGAUCUGUCUCUUGUAAGACCUCUUUUAAGAAUUUAACCCAGGCAGUUGUUUACAACCAAGUUAGAUCUCAAGCAUAGCAAAGGAAUCGUACAAUCUGUGAAUUCAGUUU